rnacentral:lncRNA from 1 species
GGCCUUCAGGCCUCGGCUGGACAGAAACACGGGGAUCAAAAGCACACAUCACUCUCUUUAAGAGGAACCCACCUCUUCCCUCCGGCAAGGAGGCUCCAGUAGAGCCAAUGCCAGGGUAUAAGGCGUUUUCCAUUUUCUUUCAACUCCCAGUAGUCUAGAAAAUAAAGAUACUCUUCUACUUCCCACCAUUGUGAUAAAAUGUAUUAAAAUAAAGUAUUAAAAGAAGCUUAAUAAUGACAUGAAAAAUGAAUGCCAACUGGAAUUCCCACAGUGUCCCUCCUGGGUAUUUUUUAGAUUACUUAUAGAGGCUGGAAGGACUCUUACAGCAUCUACGUUCCUAGCUGGCACUUGUCACUGCCCCACCCAGGCGGAUACCACUAACGCUGCCACAUGGUUGCUGUGAGGAUCGAUACCACUUGGUAACUCACUGAUGUGGUCUGACCCCUGCUCUCCAGUGUGUGGCUGGCAGGCUUUCCCACGUCUUUCACUUGCAGACAAGAAGCAGCUGAGCUGUGAGGCCCAUGGAGUUGUGCAACCAGGGGAGUGAGACAGAGAGCCCCACAUGGGAAUUGGCAAAUAGGAGGUGUUCUGGAUGAUUCAUGGAAAAAGGGUUACACGGACCCAUGGCUGGGCUGGCAUGCAUCCUCUGCGCAUGUUCAUUUGUUGGAGUAGAUUUGAUUCACGUAUGGGUCCUUCGAGGGGAUGAUGCUGGUGCUCUCCCCUGACCACGGGGGUGGAUUUCUUGUGUGUGCGUGUCCUUGGGUGUGAGUUUUGCUCCAGCAGCAGCAUCAGUUGCUGCAGGCUAUGAGUGCCAGCUUUGUCUGUGUGUGCAGAGAUGUGGAAGGGACCCUGGCUGAGUCUUAUCCAAUACCAGACAGGUCGAUGAGCAGGAAACCCACAGGUGAGUGAGUAGAAAUCCCAGCAUCCCUGCCUUGGCUUUGGGUUAUUCCAAGGCAUUCUUACUCCUGUGGACCCAGGCUCAAGCUGCCCUCUGAGGGCUCUGCUGAGAUUGCACCUGUGCUGGGUACCGGCCUCCAUGACCUGCUCCCUUGCCUGCCAAUUGCUUUCUUCCAAGAGCGUGUCCCUGUCUCAGGCUCUGCUUCUGGGGACCUCAACCUGAGACAAACCUAGUACUGAUAAAUAAAUUGUGGAAUCUUCACCAGAAAGGAUUGUGCAGUCAUUAAAACUGAUGAUUUAAAGGCUGGGCACGUGGCUCACGCCUAUAAUCCAAGCACUUUGGGAGGCCGAGGCAGGCGGGUCACCUGAGUUCAGGAGUUUGAGACCAGCCUGGCCAACAUAGUGAAACCCUGUCUCUAUUUAAAAUACAAAAUAUAACCGGGCAUGUGGUGGGCACCUGUAAUCCCAGCUACUCAGGAGGCUCAAGCAGGAGAUUUGCUUAAACCCGGGAGGCAGAGGUUGCAGUGGGCUGAGACCAUGUCACUGCGCUCCAGCCUGAGGGAUAGAGCAAGACUCCGUCUCAGGGGAAAAAAAAAAAAAAAAAAA